rnacentral:rRNA from 1 species
AUUGAACGCUGGCGGCAGGCCUAACACAUGCAAGUCGAGCGGAUGAAGGGAGCUUGCUCCUGGAUUCAGCGGCGGACGGGUGAGUAAUGCCUAGGAAUCUGCCUGGUAGUGGGGGAUAACGUCCGGAAACGGGCGCUAAUACCGCAUACGUCCUGAGGGAGAAAGUGGGGGAUCUUCGGACCUCACGCUAUCGGAUGAGCCUAGGGCGGAUUAGCUAGUUGGUGGGGUAAAGGCCUACCAAGGCGACGAUCCGUAACUGGUCUGAGAGGAUGAUCAGUCACACUGGAACUGAGACACGGUCCAGACUCCUACGGGAGGCAGCAGUGGGGAAUAUUGGACAAAGGGCGAAAGCCUGAUCCAGCCAUGCCGCGUGUGUGAAGAAGGUCUUCGGAUUGUAAAGCACUUUAAGUUGGGAGGAAGGGCAGUAAGUUAAUACCUUGCUGUUUUGACGUUACCAACAGAAUAAGCACCGGCUAACUUCGUG